UGGCCCCUAGCUUGCCCAUGAAACUCUUUCAGUUGAGAGUCUGAAUGAGUGAGUGAAUAACUUCGUUUUUCUGAAGGAGUCGUCAUUUUCUAUCAGGAACGCACGAAAUCGGAGAUCUUAUUGUCUUGUGAAUCUCCUUUGCUUCUUCAAACAACACUUUGAAUCGCAAGAAAGGAAUGAAAGUGGGCACAAUCAGGUCCCCCCCCCAUACCUCUCUCUCCCUCCCUCUCUAUGUAACUUCCAGCUAGCGUGGGAGCAGCAACGAUAGCGUCCAACAGUAGCAACGAUGAGCGUGUGGCAGAGAUCAAACGACGACUACGCAUCUGACAACAAACAGCGACAGCAACGCAACUCUAGCGUGGAUAGGCGACGACAAUGCUUUUCCUCAUCGGUGACAGUGACCAACGAUGCAAAAACCCACAGGUAUAUGAUUUUAGCAACCCACGCAGUCUAGAUAUGCUGGCAGCAAUGUUUUUCCCAAUUUCGACAAGUUUGUGCUGCUGUAACAAAGACGGGGCCUUGUUCAAAUCUGCAAGAAAGGAAAUUGUUUUCUCGUAUUCACCAAUGAGAUCCAAACUCCUCUUAGUCUUAGACUCUUAGGUAUUGUACUUAAGAAUUCUUUCUUUUGUUGUUUUUAUUUUCCUUUUUUGGGGUUGGGUGCAGGUCCGAAGCAGUAGGGGAAAAGGAACAUUAUUGGUAGUUUAUAUUGCAUUAUAUGUGGCAGAAGGUUUGUCUUCCUCCCUAUUAACUCCCUAAUUGUGAAGAUUUCCAAACACCUUUAUUCUAUUUCAAUCCAACUGUUAACUCCCUAAUUGUGGAGACUUCAUUUCAUAUUUUGACUCAAUGUUCUCUAAUUCCUGUUGUGCAAUCGUAUUCAAGUGUACUCCGUCUUUUACUACCAUGUUCAUAACUUCAAAACUACACAAGCUUAAAUUUAAGACUCUGUCUCUAAACAAACAUUAUAUUACCAACAUUCUAUUUCUCAUUGGUUGUAUUAUCACGAACUUGCGUUGGACGUGAGAAGAGAACUAGAUUAUACUAUUACUUUUAAGAACUUGAAGAAGUAUUAACUUCCAUUUCUUUUCUACAUUCUUUCUUUUCUUAGAAAAUCAUAUGAUAGUGAAUUUUCAGUGUUAUUAAUUCUUUAAAUGCAUUAGCUACUAUAUAUCUUGCCAUCUUAAACUGCAUUGACUUUGUAGGUGCUCUAAUGGGAGCUAUGUAUACUCUUUUUAAGUGGAUGAGUGAAUUUGAGUUUUCAUUUAAAUUUGUAAGUUUCCUUUUUAUUUGUUGACAACGUUGGCUUGUUGCAGUUUGAAUUACAUUAUGGUUCUUCACAAAUAUUUUUUUUAGAGAUGGUUCAGUUAUUUCUUCUUAAAUCAAAAGAUCAUUGCUCUAUAUCCACACAAUAUGUUUUGUUUAUUGUAUUAGAUGUUUUUUUCCUUCUUUGUUUGUGGCUUAUCUUAUGAGUGUGAUAACUUGUAAUGCUAGUUGUCCGUGUUCUAUUAUUGUUUGAUUCUAAAAUAUAUUAUAGGUUUUGGAGGACCGAGUUUUUUGGAUUCCAUGGAUACUUUGCUUGUUCAUUUUAUUGUAGAAGAAGGCAACUUCAAUAUGGCCACUGCCACUGCCAAAAAGAAACAUAAUCUGCAAACCAAGUUAACAUAAAUUCUUGAUAUUGCAAUUUGAUGUUGAUUAGUUAUUUAUUUUGUGAGAUUGAACUCUAAUCUAUAGGAACAUGAGGUAACUUCUCUUUGCAACUCUAGUUUAUGUCUACCUGUUUUGUAAUUUAUUGUUUCAUUUAUACUCUUCAAUUUCAUUUGUUUCCGGAUAAAACGCUUCAUACUCUUUUGUGUAUCUAUCUCUUGAUUUUUUCUUUUAAAGACACUAAAUCAAGUCAAAUUUUCAAAAUAAACGUACUAUGAAUGCAAGGUGGUACAAGAAAUGAUAGAGUGUUGGGCAUAAUUAUCAUGGGUAUUUCCAUUCAUUACAUUAUUAUUAUUGCUUUAUACAUAUUUAUGAUACUUUGAUGAAGUAUAUGCAGUUGUCCCAAUUUGCAGAACUCUUGAUAUUUUAUAAGGUCAUUAGUUGUCAAACGAGGUUAUUCUUGCAGAACAUAUGUUUCAAGCUACAGAAGUUGCAGCCACUUGAAAUACAACUAAAUUAGAGUUCUUGAAAAGUUUGGGUGUGGAUUUUGUUUCUCAAAUGACAGGGCAAUGUGAUAACACAAUGAAGGUAGUGACAGAAGGGUAGCAACAUUGUAGUACUAUAUGGUCCAUUUUUCGGUUUUGUACCAGUUUACUAGCGCCAGGCUAAUAUUAAGGAUCUUGUCUACUAUUGUAGUCAAUCAAAUAUUACUAUUCGAUAUUAUAGAAGUUGAAA